UACGUAGGGGGCAAGCGUUGUCCGGAAUCACUGGGCGUAAAGCGCACGUAGGCGGCUUCUUAAGUCAGGGGUGAAAUCCUGGAGCUCAACUCCAGAACUGCCUUUGAUACUGAAGAUCUUGAGUUCGGGAGAGGUGAGUGGAACUGCGAGUGUAGAGGUGAAAUUCGUAGAUAUUCGCAAGAACACCAGUGGCGAAGGCGGCUCACUGGCCCGAUACUGACGCUGAGGCACGAAAGCGUGGGGAGCAAACAGG
rnacentral:rRNA from 1 species